UCCAAAGCCAAACUCUCUCACCCCAAUCAAGGUUUAGCGCUGGCUGAGCUGAGAAGGAAGACCCGCCAGGAUUUAUGGGAACUGUUAGGGAAACUGGAGAAAGAGACAGGACUGGGAACUCGUGGGGUCCACAGGAGGGCUUCCUGUGAACAAUCGAGGGACGGAUGUGUUUGACUCCAUCAAUCCCACCUUUCAAUCCACCGUGUGUCUCUGCACUUUUUGCCUUUGGCUUUCUAGGGGGGCCGUUGGCCCACAUCGAACUGGGCUUAGCUUUUCUGUUUCCAGAAUUUUCUUCCGUUGCUUCAGUUGUGAGUGGCGGGAGAUGGGGUGGAGAUUAACGGCUGGCGGAGGGGUUGGAGCAGUGGGCGGAAAAGAAGCAAUGGGGGACAUGAAGAGACUUCGCUUGCCAAUGGGAUCUGUCUUCUAGUCCGGUUUGCCACAACCAAGAAAGUUUAAGCUCAACAAAGUGAAGACCAGACAGUUGAAUGGGAAAAUGAAAAGGAGUGUGAACUAUCCUACAGGAGACAAGAAAAAAUGAGGCAGAGGAAGUGCCUUCGAACAACGAGCAAGGAGCAAGGAAAGAAAGAAAAAAAUGAGAAUACCAGCUCGACAGUCCAGAAAUGCCUGGUAUUUGUGAGGUUUAAUUCCCAGUACUGGAGAAGUUUAAAUUAAAAUAUGUAUGUACAAGGAAGAAAUAAAAGCGAGCACAGACUGGGA
rnacentral:lncRNA from 1 species